rnacentral:snRNA from 1 species
GUGCUUGCUUCAGCAGUGCAUAUACUAAAAUUAGAAUGACACAGAGAUUAGCAUGGCCCCUGCACAAGGAUGACAUGCAAAUUCAUGGAGCACUCUAUAUUUUC